UUGGAAGUGAGACGCAGAUUAGAUAGCCAAGGGCUACCCUCAGAUGACCGAGGCAGGCACAGUCAUGUUUCGUCUUUGGACAUCAGUGGAAGACGAAGUCCAGGAAGACAUUGUGCAGCCCUGGAAGAUGGUGGCAGCGACAAUUCAGAGCGCCGUGGAUUGGUCUUAGAGGCCAGAGGCAGGGGCAGUCUGGAUAGUCAUGAUUGGAAACUUGAACCAGACUUGAAGCUGAUUUCACAAGAGAUCCGCAAGAGAGAGAGAGAGAGAAAUGCUGACCUUUUACAAAAGGCAUAUUUGCUGGGCUCGUCCAUUUUCAGUCAUCCUCAGGGGAACUGCUGACAUACUCCAGCCCCAUGAGGUCUAGCAUUGUCCUGCGUUAGGAGGAAUC